GCCCACGCGACCCGCCGUCGGGGGCGGCGAGCGGGCGUUUCCCGGCGACUGGCGUCACGUGGCGGGAGCCCGUCACCCGCGUGCGCGUCUCUGCGGGGGGAGCGGGCGCGCGGGGCUGCCCCGCCCCCCGCCGCGCGCCCCGCCCGCCUCAGCGCCGCCCUGCGCGGGAAGCGGCGGCGGCUCCGCCUGUGGGUUGAGCCCGGCGUUCCGCCCGGCCUGGCGCGGGGUCCCGCGGGCCGCCGCCCCGCGCGCUCCUCCCGCCCGCGGAAGCGCGGCACCGGCGCCCGGCGGCGCCCGGCGGCGGGGGAGGUGGUCCGGGGCGGGCUGCGCGGUUUUGUCCCGCAGCUGGUCCCCGCGCUGGCACCGGCGGCUCCCGCCUCUUACAGGGCGCAUCGCAGAGCGGGAGCCGCCCCAAAGACGUAAGCAGCGGGAGGGCAACAACCCCCGUCCGCCUGGCCAGAGUUACCUGCUCUUUUCCACCUCAGCCUCUGCAAGUUUUGCAGUAUGAAGCAAACGGAGUGUCUCGUGUGCUUAACGCUUGGAGAGGUGGCUGAAACCUACGAUGGAUUAGGAAUAGCAAAACUACCUGCCUGCAGAUUUAAUGCUGAAGGGGUGGCCUGGGAAGGAGAGGAGAUAUGUACAAGAAGAGCGUGGAGCUCCGGUGCCACCAAUGUGCUUGUGAGCUUUUGCCCAUCCCCAUUAUUCUCCAAGUUAAAUGGUUCUGCAUUUUUCCUGUUGAGAGCAAGUGUCUCCUAGAUACCCCUCUGGCUUGCAUGAUAGGGUGAACAACAGUCUGUACGAGAAAUCGACUGCUGGGGGGGGGGGGGGCAGGGGCUAUUGUUCCCUCUUCAGAGUGGAGCCUUGCCCCUUUCCAAAAUGUGGGAGAGUCCUCUCCUUGCACAAGACAUUAUAUGGGGCCAUGGAUGUAUGGAAAAAACUUUUUACAUAAAAGUAUUUAUUACAUAAAAAUAAAAUGUGGCUUCACAUUUCUACAAGUCUGCCGCAGAAGCUUUAACGGGUCUGGGGUGAGCGUGCAUUGAAGAGGUAACGGGGCAAAGGGACAGUCCUGUGAGCCAAAACACGGGACCACCACUCAGCCUUGCUCAUCCAAAGGCAAGACCCACCUGUGAGUCUACCCAAGAGCCCCAACCACCCCCACUCCCGACUCCUGCUCUGCUAAAAGCGGUCUUUGUCCUAGCUAGUCAUACGUGUUUCACUGGCACAAGGUAGUGUGUUAAAGAAAAUGCAUUUUGAAUUAAGAACUUUAAAGUGCUGAAGCUGCUAAAUGGCAGAACCAGGCCUCAGCCCUUGCAUAGCCCUAAUCCAAGGCUGGUUUAAACUUCAUCAGGUUAAUCAGUGGGAGAACAGAGAAACAAUAGAUGAUAAAUUGUAUGCACAGGUGCUCUGAGAAACACAGCUGUUUUUAAAAAAAAUAGUAUAUGUGAAUAAAAUUGCUUGUUCAAAGA